GGACCGAUGGUGUAGUUGGUUAUCACACCUGUCUAACACUGGAUGUUCACAGGUGGUCCUCAGUUCAAGUCUGGGUCGGUUCA